rnacentral:rRNA from 1 species
UACGGAGGGUGCAAGCGUUAUCCGGAAUCACUGGGCGUAAAGGGCGCGUAGGCGGUCUGUUAAGUCUGGCGUUAAAGCCUGGGGGCUCAACCCCAGAUCAGCGUUGGAUACUGGCAGGCUAGACGGCUGGAGAGGCGAGUGGAAUUACCAGUGUAGCGGUGGAAUGCGUAGAUACUGGUAGGAACACCCAUUGCGAAGGCAGCUCGCUGGACAGCACGUGACGCUGAGGCGCGAAAGUGUGGGGAGCAAACCGGAUUAGA